rnacentral:misc_RNA from 1 species
CAGAGUCAUUAUGGGUUUAACACCCUAAUACUCCACCCUUUGUUUACAUUACCUUUGUUGCUUUGGCAGGCCCGCUUCGGCCGCCGGCUCUUUGCUGGUCAGUGCCUGCCAGAGGACCUAAAACUCUUGUUAAUCAUAUUGUCUGAGUACUAUAUAAUAGUUA